rnacentral:lncRNA from 1 species
UAAAAACAACAUGCACAGUUCGUAUGCAUAGUAUAUAUGUACAUAUAGUGCGUUUUACUUUAUAAAAUGCAUUGCAACUCCAUCACCACCACCUCUCACUAGGAAAAAAAACAACAAACUUUAAUCAAAAUUGCAAAGUUUAGUUUGUUUUUUGUCGUUUUUAUUUCUUGAAAAAUUUUCAUCUCGCCAUAACUAGAAGAAAAUCUUGUAACAAAAAUAUUAUAGCAAAAAAAAAAGGAAAAAAAAUGAAAAAAAUCGUUAAAAUACUACAAGAAAAAAUGGUAAAAGAGGAACAACAAAAAAAAACAACACAAAAUAGUGCGAAAACAAGAAGAAAAAACAGAGAGUAAUUUUGUAGAUACACAGCGGUUGUGUGGUCAAUGUAGAGCUUUUUCUCGGCAUAACUUGUUUAUAAACUUGAGUUAAAUAUUUGUAAAACUUUAAAAUACAUAAGACUAUAUUACCCAGCAAGCAUUUUUUUAAAUUUUUUAUCACAUUCGAGUCAUUUAUUAUUCUUCUACGUGAUAAAAUGGUUAUAUAUGAGCUAUUGGCGACUCGUGUGAUCAUACCUUUAGUAUGAUCACACGAUUGCCGCAAAUGCCCAAAAUGUUACUUUUUUUAUGCCUCAAUUAAGUGAUUCCACAAUUGAUUGCUUUAUGCGGCAAUUAAGAUCAAUAUUGUGAUUGCUGUGCCCAAUCAAUGGAAUCCUGGUGCAGCCAUUGUAUGACCGCUGGAACGACAAAAAUAAACUAAUAAAACUAAACGAAAAUGCAGCAACACAAUAAUAGAAACCAAUAAGCGGCAAGUUCUAUAAACUCCAUCAUGUUUCCUUGAUGUAAGACCCACAUUUUGGUGUAUUGCAAUCUUUGGAUGAAGGUGCUACUAGUACCUCUAGUCUGCCGGGACUAUAAGCUGGUGUUUACAUUUGACUCCCUGGCUUUUCCUUGAAUGCUUUGAAAAGGGUUGUAACGAAAGCACCAUAGAAUCUAUUAGUACGGGUGGUAAGUUGCUUACAUGACUAUGUCCUGGCUGGUAAGUUCGUUGAGGUUCCUUCGGGAUCCACAUAGUGGCUCAACGAUUUAGAUAGCUCAAGUACUUGAGCAAAGUGCACAUAUACUGGACCGGAACAUCCAUAUACGUAAAUUGCCACCGGCGUGUAAGGUACACAAUGGGGAGGUGGUGAGUUGUUACAUUUUGCUCACCCAGUGGUUGAGAAUGACCACGUGAAAUAGGCCGUCAAGGCAGGUGUUGAUAGCAUUAUGCGAUAUUUUAGUAUAAUAAAAAUUAUGUCAGAUUGACGCAUUUGAGGUAAUUGUAAGAUCUUAUCUUAAAAGAAUAUUUUCUGAUCAGUUCUGACUCAUUUCGUCGGUGUCCACUCUCUCGCUUACAAAGGGUACACAGAAGUGACUAUUGUCUUCACCUUUGUUCGUAAGGGGUACACAUCCGUGUACAAGAGUAUAUCGGUUGUUAAACUGAUGGGUAUUUUUAAUUGAUUAUAUUACACCCUACACCAUCCUAGUGUAAUGGUUGUAUUAUGAGUGUACUAAUGUAUGUAACAUCCAAAAAUAUUGGUUCUAAAUCUCAGCUAUGUCCGUCUAUGUAUUCAAGUACGGCUUGUAUAUAUGCUACAGGUUGAACUUUUCAAGAUGAAAUUUGUCACAUGGAGCACAUAAGAACCAAGUUUAAAAUGACGUUUGAGCUCAAAAUGAUUUAUGUUAAAUAUUCUAGACUCUCUAUAUAAGUCAACAAAACCUCAGUUUAUAUAAGUCUAAGGGCGAGUUUUUCUGAUAAAGAUAAUCUUUAUUCUUUGGUUAAACCCGAAUUAAUAUAUGUUUCGUGUUUUUUAGUUAUCAGUAAAGAUACAUAUUAUCUGAGUGUAAUUGGCCAAUUAAACUCAAGUUGUAAGUGAGAAAAUUAAACUCAAGUUGUAAGUGAGAAAACACAAUUAACAAAAACAAUAAAACAAUGAUUUUGGAAGAACAAAAACUUAAUAUUUUAAGUAAAUUGCAAAAAUUUGCACUGCCAAUUUUUGAAAUUUUUAUAUAAUUAAAUAAAUACUCGUAUUUAAAAGCAUUUCAGUGCUUUUUCUAGUAUUAACAGGUUAGCAGUACUUUUAUUAAAAAGAGAAAACUUUAUUUUCUCUUGCUCAGAUAUGUUUACGCUCCAAAGAUGCCGAUAAAAACAAAGCAAAAGAAAUAUAUAUAAAGUAGAAAAAACAAAACACUUUUAUUUGCCAGUAAUUCCUCCUACUUCUCGUUCGGUGUUCUAUAAGAAAAUGUUUGCAUUUUAAUGAUUUGUUUACAAAUCAUUUAAAAAUUUCAAUUAAAUACUGGCGUCUAUUAGUCAUUUUGUUUGAAACAUUUGAAUUAAUGUUUAGCCGUUAUAAAAAAGUUACUCUUUUCAAAGAAAAUUAUAGCAGUAAUUAGAGGCAACGAUUUAAGUUACUUUUUUUUUAACAAGAAAGAUGUUUUUAUUUAUUUAUUGAAAUAGAAAAACUACUAUGAAUGCAAAAUUAAGUGGAAGAGACAAAAAUAAUCAUGAAAAUUGUAACAGUCCCCAAAAUGUCAAACAGCCGAAUAAAUAAAAAAUGACAAAACAAAGAUAAUAAAUGAGCACGUUUAAUGCCAAAUGCUGUUCCAAGUUUUGCACUCAAUUGGGAAAUAAAGUAGUCGAAUGAUUAGCAGAAAUACCAUUGAAAUAUGCCUCGAAAAGGAAAUGGAAAAAUUUACGUGACAGUUAUACAAAAUAUUUGCGUUCAUUUCGUGUUGGUACAAAAACUUCAAAGAAGUAUCAAUUUUGGGCUCAUGCCGAGCACAUGGAUUUCUUAAAACCAUAUCAAGG